UUGUCGCUGGCGCUUCUGAAAGGUCGCGCGAGAGGAAAGUCCGGGCAGCAUAGGGCACUCCACUUCCGAAAGUAGAAGCUAUUGGUGACAGUAGGUGCCGGCAGAAGAAAACAACCGCCCCGCGCUUUGACGUAAGUCAAAGAACUGAUUAAUCAGGGGGUAAGGGUGAGAAGGUGGUGUAAGAGACCACCAGCCAACGGGUGAUCGUUGGGCUGUGCCGACUGGAGGCUGCAAGUUCAUGUAUACCAUCGUCUGAGGGUUGCCCGCCCGAGUAAUACGGUGGAGGGUAGAACGCUUGAGCCAUGAGGUGACUUGUGGACUAGAUAAAUGACAGACGCCGUGCUUGCACGGUACAGAACCCGGCUUAUAGGUGCA
rnacentral:RNase_P_RNA from 1 species